rnacentral:ribozyme from 1 species
GAUGGUCGCUGCCGCCAACCGGCGGUGGAGGAAAGUCCGGGCUCCGCAGGACAGGAUGCCAGGUAACGCCUGGGGGGCGUGAGCCCACGGAAAGUGCCACAGAAAAGAUACCGCCCCGGAAGGGGUAAGGGUGAAAAGGUGCGGUAAGAGCGCACCGCGCCGGCCAACGCCGGUGGCAGGGUAAACCCCAUCCGGAGCAAGACCAAAUAGGGAAACAGCCGCUUCGCGGGACGUGUGGUCCGCACGGGUUUCCGGGUAGGUCGCUUCAG